rnacentral:rRNA from 1 species
GUGCCAGCAGCCGCGGUAAUACGGAAGGUCCGGGCGUUAUCCGGAUUUAUUGGGUUUAAAGGGAGCGUAGGCCGUUCCUUAAGCGUGUUGUGAAAUGUAGGCGCCCAACGUCUGCACUGCAGCGCGAACUGGGGGACUUGAGUACGCAGGAAGCAGGCGGAAUUCGUCGUGUAGCGGUGAAAUGCUUAGAUAUGACGAAGAACUCCGAUUGGGAAGCCAGCCUGCUGUAGCGCCACUGACGCUGAUGCUCGAAAGCGUGGGUAUCGAACAGGAUUAGAUACCCUGGUAGUCCACGCGGUAAACGAUGGAUGCUCGCUGUAUGCCUUUGAGGUAUGUGGCCAAGGGAAACCAUUAAGCAUCCCACCUGGGGAGUACGCCGGCAACGGUGAAACUCAAAGGAAUUGACGGGGGCCCGCACAAGCGGAGGAACAUGUGGUUUAAUUCGAUGAUACGCGAGGAACCUUACCCGGGCUUGAACUGCAGGAGAACGAUACAGAGAUGUUGAGGCCCUUCGGGGCACCUGUGGAGGUGCUGCAUGGUUGUCGUCAGCUCGUGCCGUGAGGUGUCGGCUUAAGUGCCAUAACGAGCGCAACCCCUUUCGUUAGUUGCCAUCAGGUAAAGCUGGGCACUCUGGCGAUACUGCCACCGUAAGGUGUGAGGAAGGUGGGGAUGACGUCAAAUCAGCACGGCCCUUACGUCCGGGGCUACACACGUGUUACAAUGGCGCAUACAGAGAGUCGGUCCUAUGCAAAUAGGGUCUAAUCAAAAAAGUGCGUCGUAGUUCGGACUGGGGUCUGCAACCCGACCCCACGAAGCUCNAUUCGCUAGUAAUCGCGCAUCAGCCAUGGCGCGGUGAAUACGUUCCCGGGCCUUGUACACACCGCCCGU